rnacentral:RNase_P_RNA from 1 species
UCAGUCGGCCGGACGGCCGCUCCGGCAAGGGCCGAAAGGCCGCCGGGGAGGAAAGUCCGGGCUCCCUUGACAUGCGGUGCCGGAUAACGUCCGGCGAGGGUGACCUUAGGGAAAGUGCCACAGAGAACGAACCGCUCCCUCCUCGGAGGAAGUAAGGGUGAAAAGGUGCGGUAAGAGCGCACCGCGGCGCCGGCAACGGAGCCGGCAUGGUAAACCCCACCGGGAGCAAAACCGAAUAGGGACGGCUUAAGCGGGCUGUUCGCUUUGAGCGAUAACGCCGCGGGGCGAUGUCAGGCCCGCCGUCCGGGUAGGUUGCUCGAGGCCAUGUGCAAACAUGGUCCCAGAGGAAUGGCCGUCACGCAUCGUUCGCGCAAGCGGACGGUGCCCUACAGAACCCGGCUUACAGGCCGGCUGAUAUC